UAGGGAAUAUUGGGCAAUGGAGGGAACUCUGACCCAGCCAUGCCGCGUGCGGGAAGACGGCGUUCUGCGUUGUAAACCGCUUUUAUAUAGGAAGAGAUAGCCUUGCGAGGUAAAGAGACGGUACUAUAUGAAUAAGCACCGGCUAACUCCGUGCCAGCAGCCGCGGUAAUACGGAGGGUGCGAGCGUUGUCCGGAAUUAUUGGGUCUAAAGGGUGCGUAGGUGGUUUCAUAAGUCAGAGGUUAAAGCUAGCAGCUCAACUGUUAAGAGCCUUUGAUACUGUGGGACUUGAGUUUAAUUUGGGUAGGCGGAAUUGAUAGUGUAGCGGUGAAAUGCAUAGAUAUUAUCAAGAACACCAAUAGCGUAGGCAGCCUACUGGGUUAAAACUGACACUGAUGCACGAAAGUGUGGGUAGCGAACAGGAUUAGAUACCCCGGUAGUCC
rnacentral:rRNA from 1 species